GACGAACGCUGGCGGCGUGCUUAACACAUGCAAGUCGAACGGAAAGGCCCUGCUUUUGUGGGGUGCUCGAGUGGCGAACGGGUGAGUAACACGUGAGUAACCUGCCCUUGACUUUGGGAUAACUUCAGGAAACUGGGGCUAAUACCGGAUAGGAGCUCCUGCUGCAUGGUGGGGGUUGGAAAGUUUCGGCGGUUGGGGAUGGACUCGCGGCUUAUCAGCUUGUUGGUGGGGUAGUGGCUUACCAAGGCUUUGACGGGUAGCCGGCCUGAGAGGGUGACCGGCCACAUUGGGACUGAGAUACGGGCCAGACUCCUACGGGAGGAAGCAGUGGGGAAUAUUGCAAAAAGGGCGGAAGGCUGAUGCAGCAACGCCGCGUGCGGGAUGACGGCCUUCGGGUUGGAAACCGCUUUCGCCUGUGACGAAGAGUGAGUGACGGUAAUGGGUAAAGAAGCACCGGCUAACUACGUG
rnacentral:rRNA from 1 species